CAGUAGCCGCGGUAAUACGAGGGGGGCAAGCGUUGCUCGGAAUUAUUGGGCGUAAAGGGUGCGUAGGCGGUUUGGCAAGUCUUGUGUGAAAUCUUCGGGCUCAACCCGAAGCCUGCACGAGAAACUGCCGGGCUUGAGUAUUGGAGAGGUGAGUGGAAUUUCCGGUGUAGCGGUGAAAUGCGUAGAUAUCGGAAGGAACACCUGUGGCGAAAGCGGCUCACUGGACAAUAACUGACGCUGAUGCACGAAAGCUAGGGGAGCAAACAGGAUUAGAGACCCGAGUAGUCCCUGUCUCUUAUAA
rnacentral:rRNA from 1 species